rnacentral:misc_RNA from 1 species
AGAAACGUUCAAUUACCAUCCCAAGAGAGCGAAGAUGAUGCAAUAAUAAGAGCCAUUCUGGCAGUUCUAACAUCUCCUUCAACUUCUACCAAUUCUUCAAUAAUGCCUAACUCACCUUAUCAUUACCGGGAAAGCCAGAAAGCUAGUGCUUUCAAGGAUUAUAUAGCCCCCACAAGACAAACGAGACAAAAUUUACACGGGCAAAGUUUGCUUAAACGAGCAAUUACUUAUUACAGAAGCUUAAAUAUUUUGAGACCGGAACAUAUGCCGGCAAGUCGCCCCAGCAACACUCAGUUGCACCACAUGAUAUCAGAGCGCAGAAGGCGUGAAAAGAUCAAUGAAA